rnacentral:rRNA from 1 species
CAAUAGCGUAUAUUUAAGUUGUUGCAGUUAAAAAGCUCGUAGUUGGAUUUCGGGUGGGACGCAGCGGUCUCGCAUUGCGUUUGUACUGCUGCAGCCCUCCUUCUUGCCGGGGGCGGCCUCUCGGACUUCACUGUCUGGGGGUCAGAAUCGGCGAUGUUACUUUGAGUAAAUUAGAGUGUUCAAAGCAAGCUUACGCUCUGAAUAUAAUAGCAUGGGAUAACACGACAGGACUCUGGCCUAUCGUGUUGGUCUAUAGGACCAGAGUAAUGAUUAAGAGGGACAGUCGGGGGCAUUCGUAUUCCGUUGUCAGAGGUGAAAUUCUUGGAUUUACGGAAGACGAACAUCUGCGAAAGCAUUUACCAAGGAUGUUUUCAUUAA